UGAGGAAUAUUGGUCAAUGGGCGAGAGCCUGAACCAGCCAAAUCGCGUGAAGGAAGACUGCCUUAUGGGUUGUAAACUUCUUUUUAUACAGGGAAUAAAAAAGGGGACGUGUCCCUUAUUGCAUGUACUGUAUGAAUAAGCAUCGGCUAACUCCGUGCCAGCAGCCGCGGUAAUACGGAGGAUGCGAGCGUUAUCCGGAUUUAUUGGGUUUAAAGGGUGCGCAGGCGGGCUUUUAAGUCAGCGGUGAAAUCUCGGGGCUUAACUCCGAAACUGCCGUUGAAACUGGGAGUCUUGAGUAUGGAUGAAGUAGGCGGAAUUCGUUGUGUAGCGGUGACAUGCUUAGAUAUAACGAGGAACUCCGAUUGCGUAGGCAGCUUACUAAGCCAUAACUGACGCUCAAGCACGAAAGCGUGGGGAUCAAACAGGAUUAGAUACCCUGGUAGUCACGCCGUAAAACGAUGAUUGACUAGUUGUAUGCGAUAUACCGUAUGUGACUAAGCGAAAGCGAUAAGUAAUCCACCUGGGGAGUAACGCCGGCAACGGUGAAACUCAAAUGAAUUGACGGGGUCAUAGC
rnacentral:rRNA from 1 species